rnacentral:rRNA from 1 species
UACGUAGGGGACAAGCGUUGUCCGGAUUUACUGGGCGUAAAGAGCGCGCAGGCGGUCGAUCAAGUCGAGUGUGAAAGCCCCCGGCUCAACUGGGGAGGGUCAUUCGAUACUGAUCGACUCGAAGGCAGGAGAGGGUAGUGGAAUUCCCGGUGUAGUGGUGAAAUGCGUAGAUAUCGGGAGGAACACCAGUGGCGAAGGCGGCUUCCUGGACCGGUUCUGACACUGAGGAGCGAAAGCGUGGGGAGCGAGCCGG